GACGAACGCUGGCGGCGUGCUUAACACAUGCAAGUCGAACGGAAAGGCCCUUCGGGGUACACGAGUGGCGAACGGGUGAGUAACACGUGGGUGAUCUGCCCUGCACUCCGGGAUAAGCCUGGGAAACUGGGUCUAAUACCGGAUAGGACCACUGCCUGCAUGGGUGGUGGUGGAAAGCUUUUGCGGUGUGGGAUGGGCCCGCGGCCUAUCAGCUUGUUGGUGGGGUGAUGGCCUACCAAGGCGACGACGGGUAGCCGGCCUGAGAGGGUGACCGGCCACACUGGGACUGAGAUACGGCCCAGACUCCUACGGGAGGCAGCAGUGGGGAAUAUUGCACAAUGGGCGCAAGCCUGAUGCAGCGACGCCGCGUGAGGGAUGACGGCCUUCGGGUUGUAAACCUCUUUCAGUAGGGACGAAGCGCAAGUGACGGUACCUACAGAAGAAGGACCGGCCAACUACGUGCCAGCAGCCGCCGUAA
rnacentral:rRNA from 1 species